CUUGAAGUCCACGCUGCCAGGCCCCCCUGGGGCAGUUAACACAAUGAAUGAUUUACUCAUUGCCAGUUCAUCUAUAUCAAAUUACAGGUUUUCUUGAGUCUCAACAUUGACUCAUUUUUUUCCUGCAGUUAAUGUGCUUGUGGAGUUGUUCUUUUGAAGGGAUGCCGGUUCUCCUUCUCAAUGCAGGAAUGAUCAUUUAUAGGUAAGGAGUAAAAAUGUGAAGACUUCUGCAAAUAUGAGGCUGGGUCAAACUGGUACCCCACCACCACCAUUCUCCCUACCUACCCAUCCAGAUCUAGGAACUUUAGAGGUUCUCUUUUCCUGCUGGAAUAUUGGAAACACAUCUACAAAGUACUACAUGAGUAGAAUGUUGGAAUUCUUAAAGAAAAGCGCUCACCACCUGAAAGGGAUAUAAGAUCUAAGGGAAGAAAAUCUGAACCAGAAAGAAUGUGGCUGGCUUGAGGUCUGACGCAAAAGAAAAAACUUAUAAAUUUCCUCAUAGAACUCAUAUUAAAAUGGGAGUUUGGAUUCAAGCAACUAAACACUGAAAUUAAAAUUCUUAUAUGGGGUAUUUGUAGUUUCCAAUUAUAUCUUUAUGAUAUUUUCUCUGUGGAAGUUGAUUGCUGUUCAUUAUAAUAAAUUACUUGAAUUGUCUGUAUCUUUACUUAACCAUUUCUUUUCAUGUCUUUGCUUUCUUUUGUUCUUUUUAAAAGUAGAAAAUGCUCAGUUGCUAAAUAAUGAAGACUUAAUUUUUUGUUUCUCCCAAAUUUUACCUUACUCAUGAUCAUUAAUAAUUUUCAGAAGGGUUCUGAACCCUUCUCUUUUCUUGUGAACUCUAGAAAAAUGCUAGCUCAGUAUGCAUAGUACUCCAUCCUUAACCAGCUAUGUUAUUGCUUUGAACCCUGUUCUCCAACUUACUCAAGAAACUGCAGUUAAAUAUUAUUGGGAUCCUUUUUUUUUCUAUAACAAACACGUUUCUAUGUAUUUUAUGGAUAAUUAAAUAAAACUUGAACUCUGGGCUUAAGGUUUUUCUCACUGACUUGUCAUAGGAAAUACAAAAGUAACAGAAAUGAAUUUGUGGCUUAAAAGCAUCUUUUAGAGGGCCAGGGAUUUAGCUCAGUGGUGCUGUCCACUGCCUCACAAGCGAAAGGUCCCGAGUUUGAUCCGGUACCAAAAAAAAGGCUUCUGUGACCUACAUUUUUUGAGACAAUGAAAGUAAGGAGUCAAGAUCUUACAUGAUAAAGUGAAAGACAUCACUACCAGGAAAGCCAGUUAUGUGAAACAACCGUGUGAACCAUGUAAAAGCUGGAGAGGGGUGUCUUGAGAACCAGGGCUCAGUUUUGUCACAAGGGUUAGGUCAAUAGAAUACCAGUGCCACAUGCCUGGCAGAGUUCUUGCCACAUAGAUGUUAGUUGCUCCCUGGAUUAACCCCAGCUCUUGCUUUAUGGAUUCCUUGCUGACAUACCAUCAUAUUUAUCAGUGCUCUUACCUGUUUCUUUCCUUUGUCAAGGUUGUCAUCCACCUGGCCCUGCCUACGCAGCUGCAGCUAAAGGGCAGGUUCUCAGAUCAUAUGCCUCUCCCCUACUUUAUUUCCUUUUUUAAAAAAUCACCAUUUGGGACUUAGAGUUGGCUACUCAGAUUAAAAAAGUGUCUAAUUUAAUUUGGAUCAUUGAACCUUCAUUUCACUUUGGCUCGUUCAACUUAUUGAAUCAGACCAAAUUCUCAUAGUCCCUCAGGAAAUACCAUCUUUUACCCACAAGUUGGCAAAGGACUCCCAUUUUCAAAGAGAUAUUCAACCCAAUAACCAGAGGAGGUCCUGUGGCAGUCAAGAUUGGUCAAGGAAACAUAGGUCACUAUAAUCAUGACUCAGCCCUGGUUAUUAUCAUUGGGACAUAAUUUCACCUCUCUGCUAUUUCUAGCCAAUCUAUUUCUUAUCUCUCUUCUGCUUUUUCCUUUAUAUUUCAGCAAAAAUUCUAAGGUCUGUGAUCCAUUUUCAUGUUCGCCAAGAUCACAUUGGCACAGAAAUUUUUCUGCAGCCUUCCCUUGAGGACAACAUCACACUGAAACUUUCUGACCUUAAGCUAAAGGCUGUGCAAGCCUCUUAGCUACUUGUCUUCUGAUCAGCUUCUACUCCCACCUCCUCUUUUACUCAUUCAUUUCUUUCUUCCUUUCCUUAACACAGGUACUCCAUAGUUCUUUCCCCAUCUCUCUCCAGCUUUCUUUCAUCUGACCCUGAAAGACAAAAUGCUGAUAAGCUCCCUUCCCUGCUUCAUUAAAAAAUUGCCAUUAAAAUUUAUAGCUGGUUUAGGCUGGCCAUCACUGAUCUUCUUGAUUUAGUUACCGCCAAGAAAUGCUUUAUGAUUAUCCACUGACUUAUUUAUAACAAACAUAACAAAGUCCUUGGUGUUAGCAGCCUGUAGAGAAAUUAUUUGUUUUGAAAAUAGAGUGGAUACUUAAAGUUCUCUGUGAAGAAUGGGAGUGUUUGGGUUUGUUGUACUUGCAUAUUUUAUAUAGAAAGGUAAAGUCUCCAAGCCUCAAUAUGUAAUAACAUCAAAUCAUUUUGUUGCUGUGUAGAAAAUGUGUGUUCUAAGGUUGCACAGAAAAUUUCCUAAUACUUCUUAAGCACUGGUUUCAGUAGGCCACUGGUGAGGCUGGUAAGUGAAAACAAAGUGUACUGGUGAGGAUUAAAUGAUUCAUUGGCGGAAACUGUUUGAACAUCUAAAUGUGAUGAAGUUAGUUGAUUGUAGAAGAGUAAUUUAGAAGCUAAUGUAAUAACCACCUGUCUUGAGUCUGCUAUUUGAAGGAUGGUCAGAGAAGGAAUGAAUGCAGUGUUUGAAAUGUCUCAAUAGUGUUGAGUGUUCUGAUAUGUGUGAAAGUGAUCUGUUCUCCUUGGCACUCUGUCAAUCACUACAUGAGUUUAAGGUGUUCUGCAGUAUCCAAAGUCUUUUAACAGAUGCCUUUUGUCCUGAGAAAAACAGUGCAAUCACAUAGAACAGGCCAAUAAGAACAGUUGUAAUGCUUGUUUCCAAGGAGAAAUUGUGGCUGUAUCUUCUGGAAGUAAACACCAACAUUAUGGUGCCAGUGAUUGCUUUAGCACUUCACUGUCACAGAAGAAAUCUGAUGUCCACAGAAUGGUCAUAAUAUUCUGCCUUCUGUGCUUAGGAUCUGGCAGUAAAGACCAAGUGUCCAUACCUGUACUACUAUUGAUUACUGUAUAUUCCUUUGCUGAAGGCAGUGCUAUCUUAUGGGGUGUUGCAGAUAUAGAAGAGCUUGGUGGUGAAGGUGGAAGAAUAAAGACUGGUUUCUGCUGGUUCAAGUGGACUUUACCUAAUAAAUAUGGGAGCCAAGAGUAGAAGAACCAAUCACAUCAGGGAAAGCCUUCAAUAGCAGUUUUAAUGAGGUGCCUGGAUAAUUCAGGAAGUGUGGCUAGAUAAACCAAGUUCAAGUGAGGGUCCCACGUGACCCAAUCAAUUUCCACAUGAUAAUCCACAGAAAGCACUGUGUCAAAAUCACAACAAUGACAACUGAAACCUAAUCUUUAUCUCUUAAAAAUCAGCAAGGUAGAUUCGGUUUAUAAUCCACCAUAAAACACCUCUCAAACUCCUUUUGGUUCCUUUCCAACUUCUCCGACUCCAAAGCUGCUCCAGAAACAUUCACAUCCCAAAUAUCAAAAUGCUUUUUCACAUACCAUGUGGCACAUGUGAGCUUUCAUCACUUAUGCACACCUUCAGCUCUUAGUUUGCAGGCUCUACUCAGCCUCUCUUGUUUUGCUUUGCUUUCUCUUGUCCUUUGUUGUUUAAUGUGGUUCUAGCAUUUAAAAAAAGAUUAGGAACUAGUUUGGUAAAAUUCUCUUAGAAGCUAAGACAAGGGCAAGUGAAGAGUCUGAGGUAAAUACAAAGUUCUCUCAUUAGCUGGGGUGGAAACAGCAAUCUCAAACCAUUGCUGUGUUAAAAUAUCUGGUCCUAUCCCAACCUACAGUAAGAGCUAACAUUUAUUAGGAGUCAACAAAGUUCACGCAUUUUGUUGAGUAUUUUUAUAUAAUUAUGACAUGAUAAUUCUAAUUUAUCUUACAAAUUUGUAACAUCACUGUAAAAAUAAGGAGACAGUAGUUCAGAACGACUGAAUAACUUGCCAAGGCCACAUCGCAGGUUAAUAACAGAAUUAGGAUUUCCGAACCUCAGAAACCCUGCAAACACAGUGUACCUCAGUUCAUGAACACUAGUUUGCAAACAAUUUGGUUUACAAACAGAAACUUUUGGAAAAAUUUUGUUUUUGUUUGCAAACUCUACAUUGGGUGGCAAACAUGCCCGCAGUCGUAUUUCCCACACAAACACCAUCAUGGCCAUCAUUUCCAAAAUCAUAGAAAAAAAAUUAAGUUCGUGAAUCAAGAUACCACUGUAUCAUAUUCUUAAUCAUUAUAAACUCUAUGAAUUAGCAUCUCUCAAUGGCUGAGAUUGUACUGAGAUUAAAGCAAUUACUGAAACAUUGAUGCUGUUUGAAUAUAAGAAAUAUAAUUUAAGAAAUAUAAUUUAAUUCCAUCCUUUUUUUGAGGUAAGUGUAUUAUUUUGGACCCAACUCUGUAUUAACAAGAUCUGUAUUAGCAAAGGUUAGACACUUGUCUACAAAUUAGUACUGAAAUGUCCCAAUAUAAAUGCUUGUGAUUUGGAAGAGAAAUUCAAAAUUUAAAACUUCUCUUAAAAUUUUUUUUAACUGUUUCCUAUCCUCUGCCCAAAUGAUCAGCAGGAAUUCUAUAGCCCAGGGUUAAAAUUCUGAAUUUGUUACCCCUGAGUGGUUCACACCUCUCCACUCUGCCUCUUCUUGGAAACUGGAGGAAGGUUUUAGGAAGGAGGGGGAUUAAAGAGCUCAUGAGCACGUGGCAGUGAUGGAGCAUGGACCAAACCAGUCCACCAGUUUCUCUGGACAAUAUGCCACAUCCAACAGGAAUUAUUCAUUACAUUUCUACUUUUUAAAAUAAAUUUUCCCUUUGGUAUAAAUGUUUUCUUGCUGUUUUUGUACCCUGAUCAAAAGUGAAGUGCUAUUUCUCUAAUGACAUUCAUCAUUACUCCUGGGAAGUUAAGCCUUAAGUUGACACUUUCCACUUUUCUCUUUUUGGCAGAUGCCUUCAACCAGUACAUGCUUGAGUCAGGAACUUUCCUCUUUUAGCUGUGCUAUGUCACUACAUUGGUAGUGAGUCUCAAGCCAACUCCUUUGGCUGCUGUUUGGUGAUCUUUCUAUUGAGAUUAGAGUUUGAGUUGUUUUUAUAAAGGACAUGAAACAGAGAGGGGAAGGUGAGGCUGAACAUAGAGCUCUGACCUUAUAUUUGGAGGCCUUGGCCUUCUAGGUUCUAACAAACAUCACAGCUUACAAAAAAUCAUUCUAAGGCUCCCAAACAAUUUCUUGACUCUGUUAUAGAUGGAGUUUAUGGAAUUAUUGUAAGAGAUCUGCACAUCCCUAUGUAAAGGGAAUAAAUAAUAUAUCUUACACAUAUAUGUGCCAUUCAUUUCACACAUGAAAAUAGGUAAUGUUGUAAUCAAUACGAUACCAAUUGUUUUCCUUACACUAAUACAAUUAAAUUUAUUUGAUAGUAUGUAUUUACUUAGAGAUUCUACUACUGUCACAAGAAAUUUAUAAACUCUCACAUAAGAAAGGAAUCCCCCCCCCAACCCGGUACCAGGGAUUGAACUCAGGACCUUGCACUUGCAAGGUAGGCUCAGUACCACUGAGCUACAUCCCUGGCCCCAGGAAUUCUCCUUUUUAAAGAGUUUGGAAUCACUAAUCUAAAUAAUGGCGGCCCCCGCUGGGACUAGCAAAAUAGAAAGAAAUAUAAAAGAAGUCAAAAAUACAAAGGCACUGCUAAAAAAAAGCAAGAAGUCUCUGCCCAAAGCUAUCAAUUUCUGUAGGGAAAUUAGCUGACACAUCCUUGCUUUACCUUGGAGCUCCCAAAGGCUGCAGCUAGAUUUAGCAUGGGUGUUAGAGCACCGUGUGUCAGCAAACUCACAGGAAGAACCCAUCAUUUCUACUGAUAUUCUGUCUAAGCUUCAGAAUAGCAUAGCAUUCAGGUGCCUGCUUGUAUCUUAAUGUUUCUGACAUUUUCCUGAGGAGAAAUAAUAGAUUAUGAGUCAAUGUGCAAAGGGAUAAAUGAAGAGCUCUCUCCAAUUGUGAAAAUCCUGCUUCAAGUUGUUGAUCAAAAGGUUCAUCCAGAGAGCACAGCAGGGAGGCCUUCUGCGACAGGAAAAGCAGGGAGUUCUGAAAAUGCCUAAAUGCCUGAUGUGUGACAGCAAUGCCUGUUCCCAUGGUGCUGCUGCUUCUGAGAAAGCGCCAAACAGACAAAGAACAAGGCAGAAACGGCCUCCUCGCUGGGGAUGAAAAGAAGCUGCUCUGAUGAGGGAAUCAGUUUACCGCUUCUGCCGCUAAAAUUCUCUUCGUCUGUCUCUGGUUUUCUUUAUUAUGCACCCCAGAAAAAAUCGCUCCCUCCCAAGACAAC
rnacentral:lncRNA from 1 species